AUUGAACGCUGGCGGCAGGCCUAACACAUGCAAGUCGAACGAGUGGCGGACGGGUGAGUAACGUCUGGGAAACUGCCUGAUGGAGGGGGAUAACUACUGGAAACGGUAGCUAAUACCGCAUACCAUCAGAUGUGCCCAGAUGGGCUUAGCUAGGUGGUGGGUUAACGGCUCACCAAGUCCACGAUCCCUAGCUGGUCUGAGAGGCUGACCAGCCACACUGGAACUGAGACACGGUACAGACUCCUACGGGAGGCAGCAGGGGGGAAUAUGGCACAAUGGGAGCAAGCCUGAGGCAGCCAUGCCGCGUGUAUGAAGAAGGCCUUCGGGUUGUAAAGUACUUUCAGCGGGGAGGCGUUACCCGCAGAAGAAGCACCGGCUAACUCCGUGCCAGCAGCCGCGGUAAUAC
rnacentral:rRNA from 1 species